GCUGUUAUAGUAUUCUUCCACAGUCUACUUUUAGCUUUAUUGCACACCCAAAGAAGUUCAGUAUCCCAGCAUCCAAUUGUUCUGAUAUGCCCCAACCAAGUACAUAUUCUGGUCCACAAUCUAUUUGUAACAGGACACACAAAGAAUAGAUGAUUAAAGUCCUCUAUAUUCUGUUUGCAGAACACACAAUCUGUUGGAAUCU
rnacentral:lncRNA from 1 species